rnacentral:siRNA from 1 species
AACAGUGAUGAGUCAGUUUACA